GAAUGAGAGCGUGACCUGGCUGUGACCCUGCCACCCCAUUGAUUGCCAGAGCCCAUUAGACUGAUGUGGUGGCCCGGUGUCUUCUUUCUCCCUCACCUCUGUCUACGUCAGCCUUCAAGUCUAGGGCUCAGACAACAGGAAUGACCUUCCCUGAUAAAGGAAUAUUUGUCCUCAGUAGGCCCAGGCGGUGCGAACUCAACUCAGGGUGGCUUCAAGCUGGGACUUUUUCUGUGACCCAGCAACGCCUCCCAAAGUGUUGGGAUGAACACUGU
rnacentral:sRNA from 1 species